rnacentral:tRNA from 1 species
AGGUUAUAUUGGAUUAUAAAAGGUUUUGAAAACCUUUAGAAAGUGUUCGAUUCACUUGUAACUUUG